rnacentral:tmRNA from 1 species
GGGGGCGUAAAGGUUUCGACGGGGAUCUGGAUACAGUGUAAGCGGGCAGAGUUUGAGGACACUCUUUAAUCAUCCUCGCUUUAAAAACAAACGCAGACGAUAACGUCGCUCUGGCAGCCUGAGUCCUGUCCGGCGUAAGCCGGCGGACGGAGGCUGUGCCGCGGACAAUUGUUCCGCCCGUCCCUUCUUUGAGGAUUACGGCUUAGAACGGGGCGUCACACAGUAAUGAACGUGCAUCUCCUGUAUGCUGUUGAAGAGAUCAUGAAGAAAACGGCUACCUGCCUCCCGGGCCUGUCUGUCGGCCCAGGAACCGCGGGGAAAGGAACCGGGAAACCGGUUCGAAAAUGACGGACUGUGCCCGGAGAAAGCGCUGUUGAUGGGUUUUCGGACGAGGGUUCGACUCCCUCCGCCUCCAU